UGGGGGAUAUUGCACAAUGGGCGAAAGCCUGAUGCAGCGACGCCGCGUGGGGGAUGAAGGCUUUCGGGUUGUAAACCUCUUUCGCUAUCGAACAAGGCCCGCUUAGGGUGGGUUGAGGGUAGGUGGAGAAGAAGCGCCGGCUAACUACGUGCCAGCAGCCGCGGUAAUACGUAGGGCGCGAGCGUUGUCCGGAAUUAUUGGGCGUAAAGGGCUUGUAGGCGGCUUGUUGCGCCUGCUGUGAAAACGCGGGGCUUAACUUCGCGCGUGCAGUGGGUACGGGCAGGCUUGAGUGUGGUAGGGGUGACUGGAAUUCCAGGUGUAGCGGUGGAAUGCGUAGAUAUCUGGAGGAACACCGAUGGCGAAGGCAGGUCACUGGGCCAUUACUGACGCUGAGGAGCGAAAGCAUGGGUAGCGAACAGG
rnacentral:rRNA from 2 species